GGCUGAUCUGAAGGUAGUGAGUUAUCUCACUUGGUUGCUCAGUCAGUUACAGAUUGACCUCUUUGUUCUACUACUUUCCCCCCUUCUCACUGCUACACUUGACUACUCUAAA
rnacentral:Y_RNA from 1 species